UCAUCAGCUACUCUCUUGGAAUUGAUGGUGAUUUCCAUUUGUAUGCAAGGAUAUCAGAUGCCUUGGGGAUUGUAGCCUAACACCACCAAGGAGUGAAUUGAUACUACAUUCAGAAAGAGAAGUGACAGCAGCUUUGGAAGCUAUGGCAGUCUGGCAGUGAAGAAUCAGAAUUGAACAUGAACAGCACAAGAUCGGUCUAGAAGGACCAUUUUCGGACAAGGUUGUGCCAUUUGAACCAACAAUCUUUGUGAUUUGCUGAAGGAUCCAUAAUGAUCAACUGAUUAAAGGUCAAGAUAGAAGGAAGGAAGAUUGUGACCAUCAAGGUUGAUGAUUUUCUGUGGCGUUUUAUACAUACACCUUGCCUUCAUCUUGC